GAUGAACGCUGGCGGCGUGCCUAAUACAUGCAAGUCGAGCGAACGGACGAGAAGCUUGCUUCUCUGAUGUUAGCGGCGGACGGGUGAGUAACACGUGGAUAACCUACCUAUAAGACUGGGAUAACUUCGGGAAACCGUAGCUAAUACCGGAUAAUAUUUUGAACCGCAUGGUUCAAAAGUGAAAGACGGUCUUGCUGUCACUUAUAGAUGGAUCCGCGCUGCAUUAGCUAGUUGGUAAGGUAACGGCUUACCAAGGCAACGAUGCAUAGCCGACCUGAGAGGGUGAUCGGCCACACUGGAACUGAGACACGGUCCAGACUCCUACGGGAGGCAGCAGUAGGGAAUCUUCCGCAAUGGGCGAAAGCCUGACGGAGCAACGCCGCGUGAGUGAUGAAGGUCUUCGGAUCGUAAAACUCUGUUAUUAGGGAAGAACAUAUGUGUAAGUAACUGUGCACAUCUUGACGGUACCUAAUCAGAAAGCCACGGCUAACUACGUGCCAGCAGCCGCGGUAAUACGUAGGUGGCAAGCGUUAUCCGGAAUUAUUGGGCGUAAAGCGCGCGUAGGCGGUUUUUUAAGUCUGAUGUGAAAGCCCGCGGCUCAACCGUGGAGGGUCAUUGGAAACUGGAAAACUUGAGUGCAGAAGAGGAAAGUGGAAUUCCAUGUGUAGCGGUGAAAUGCGCAGAGAUAUGGAGGAACACCAGUGGCGAAGGCGACUUUCUGGUCUGUAACUGACGCUGAUGUGCGAAAGCGUGGGGAUCAAACAGGAUUAGAUACCCUGGUAGUCCACGCCGUAAACGAUGAGUGCUAAGUGUUAGGGGGUUUCCGCCCCUUAGUGCUGCAGCUAACGCAUUAAGCACUCCGCCUGGGGAGUACGACCGCAAGGUUGAAACUCAAAGGAAUUGACGGGGACCCGCACAAGCGGUGGAGCAUGUGGUUUAAUUCGAAGCAACGCGAAGAACCUUACCAAAUCUUGACAUCCUUUGACAACUCUAGAGAUAGAGCUUUUCCCUUCGGGGGACAAAGUGACAGGUGGUGCAUGGUUGUCGUCAGCUCGUGUCGUGAGAUGUUGGGUUAAGUCCCGCAACGAGCGCAACCCUUAAGCUUAGUUGCCAUCAUUAAGUUGGGCACUCUAAGUUGACUGCCGGUGACAAACCAGAGGAAGGUGGGGAUGACGUCAAAUCAUCAUGCCCCUUAUGAUUUGGGCUACACACGUGCUACAAUGGACAAUACAAAGGGCAGCGAAACCGCGAGGUCAAGCAAAUCCCAUAAAGUUGUUCUCAGUUCGGAUUGUAGUCUGCAACUCGACUACAUGAAGCUGGAAUCGCUAGUAAUCGUAGAUCAGCAUGCUACGGUGAAUACGUUCCCGGGUCU
rnacentral:rRNA from 1 species